rnacentral:lncRNA from 1 species
GAGCGUCAUCGCCGGUGAUCCUGGUGUUCAAGAGGCAUCGACCAGUGUAAGGUUCCUUUGGUUUGAAUUUGUUGACAACUAUUCCUUCUUCUUGUUUCUUUGACUCCUUGGCUACUUUCACUGGCGCCUCUGUUGACACCUGAGCCUUCACUCUUCCCCCAUAUACACACGCCUCUCUGUAGCACAGUGUGCUCUGUACAUAUGCAUGCCACAAAAGAUAUUUAAGCCCCUUUUUGGUCAGAGAUAUCAAGCUAUGACUAAGAAGAUGAUUAAGAAACGAUACCUUGUUGUUGAGGAAAAUCCUUUGAGGGGAGACGAAGGAAGUUUUGGAGGGAAGAGAAGAAGACUUGGAUGAAGGAUAAGAGACUGCAGCACCUAUAGCAGCAGCAGCCAUGUUUGAUCAACUAUGCAAGGAAGAUGGGCCUCUCUGUCUUUCUUCUUACAAAACAGAAAAUAAAAGAUCAGAGAAAAAAUGUUAAAGAGGAAGCUAUAUGAUAUGAUCAGGUUUGUGAUUGGAUGUUUGUAGAUUGUGUGAAUGAAAAUGCAAGGCCAAGUGUAAGUGGAUAAGUUAUUACAGCUUCUCAUUUGUCUCUCUGUUCAACAUUGUCCUAACACUAUCCACCCAAAUAAAAAUAUGUUCACACAACACAAUCUACUGCUUACUGGGCUACAUAGUGGGCUUAAUUAAUUAACAAUAGGCGUCCUGGACAAGAAACUAAUUGAUUGGAUCGGAAGCGAGAAUGGCAGAGGAAGUGAGUCAAAUCAAUUCAUAUCCUAACUCGAGGAUCAUGGAAAACAACAGAAAUAGACUGUUUCUUGUGCUGGUGUUCUCUCUCACAGGCACACAUAUAAUAAUAAUAACAGAAGAAUUGGAAAAAGGGUACAAAACAUACGAGAUGUUUAAAUUACAGCUGGGAUCUAUCUUUCUUCGGUGCCCUGGUCGAGUCAGGGAAUGGGCAUGUACCUAUCCCAUAUCCUCUUUAACCUGGUGGCCAAAACCACUCACACUGUUUCUUUGGUUUGGCUGCUUCACACAACCAAACUAUUACAACCCCCAAAACCCCACUUAUCUUACAAGCAAAUUACAUAUAUAUAAUCACAUUGCCCUGUCUCCACUUAUUGUCCUCUUCUAGUAUAUACACCAUUUAAAACUACCGAGGAAUCCUGUGGCCUGCAGUGCUUGCAACUCUCGGGGAACUUAUGCUCGCUGUUCUUAGAAGCCUCCUGAACUCAUGCAGGCUUAUCUUCCCGUCUCUGUCUAUGUCUGCUUCAUCCAGAAGUGGGUCUAUUGACCCCCUUAACCCCGUGUGCUGUUUAAUUCACCAAAACAAAACGUAUUAGAUGCUUUCUUUUAUUCCAUCAUCUCCUCAACAAAGAGAGUACAAGAGGUAUUAUAGAUAAAAAGAUUUACCAUUCGAAGCUCCUCAGGGGUGAUGUACCCGUCUUUGUCAAUGUCGAAUUUCUCAAAAGCUGCUCUUGAUCUUAGCUGCCAUUUCUCUGAGUCAUGUUCUUCAAGUUGAUGAACAUGUAGAGCUGCUGCUACAAACUCUGUGAAGUCCACUAACCCAUCAGUGUUGCUAUCAAUCUGUCAUCACAACAAACGUUUCAGAUUUUUAUAUGGAAACUGCAUCUCUCUUUGAAAAUAACCCCGUGAUGCUCUAUUGCAAUGGCGAAGAAAAACUGUAAUUACCGCUUCAAGUAUCUCGGCAACUCGUGAUUCCUUCAGUUUCCAAGGAAGAUCUUUGGCAAGUGCCUGUAUGUACAUUAAAGAAAAUAUGAAUCUAAUAUAAGUAGACGUGAUUAAUAUUGCACUUGAAGCAAAUUUGUUCACUUACCUGUCUCAUCUCCUCAAGACUAAUGACGCCGUUUUUAUCCACAUCAAUUGCAUCAAACUGAUCUCUGAGGUCAGAUAUCUCUGCCUCAUCAAGUGUGCUAGCAAGCGCCUGCCAAAAAAAGGGGACACAGAGCAUAAGAGACAAGUCCUUUAUCUCUCUCGUUCUUUUAGUUCUCGUAGUUCAAGCUUACCCGUAAAGCAAACUGCUUCAGACGGCUGUAUCUAACAAACUGACGUAAGUUGUUCAGAACAGAAAUGUCGACAGGGAUGUCAGUGGCGUUCCCUCCUUCUCUAACCCACGCAUGUGCUGCAAAGAGGCAAAAGAGUCAAAAGUCUAAGAUUCCAUUGCAGAUGAUGAAAUCACCAAACUACUAAGGACAACACAUACACAGGGCUUGUGCAGCAGUUAGCCGUGCUCGUGGGGCUUUAACAAGCAACUUUUUAAUAAAAUCUUUGGCACUGUCACUUAUGGUUGACCAUGGUUUGCGACGGAAGUCAGGUUUGUUCCUUAAGACCUAUAGACAUACAUACAGUAAGAAGUCAGACAGCAAAUAAGAAAGAUAGAAAAUCAAAUGAAAGGGUUUUGGCAACUACACACCUCCUUAAAUAUACCGUCCUCAGUCCUAUCCCAGAAAGGGCGUCUUCCACAGAGUAAAAUAUAGGUAAUGACACCAAUGCUCCAGACAUCAGACUCAGGGCCUGAUCUGCGCUUAAGUACUUCGGGAGCAACAUAAUAGGCGCUACCAACAAUGUCAUGGAACUUUUUCCCUGAAAACAUUUGAGUUUUUUUUUUUUAAUCAUAUAAAUUAACAUAAUUAGCCUCUCUACCACUUAGUUGGUGUUGGUUUUGAUAGCUUCCUACAAACCUGGUUUAAUAAAAUCGGAUAAACCAAAAUCUGUAGCCUUUAGAGGCGAAUCCAGUUUAGCUGAUUUGAACAAAAAAUUCUGCAAGAAAGAGGAAAUAGGAGGAUAUUAAAAACAAAAAUGCCAAGGAAAAGAGAAAUAAUAAUAAUAAUAAUAAUACCUCAGGUUUCAUAUCUCUAUGAACAAGACCGUGAAGAUGACACUCUCCAGCGACUUUGAGCAUCUGCCUGACGACAACGGCUGCAUCCUUCUCAGAGUAACGACUAUCUUUCCUGAAAUAAAAAGCGUCAAAUAGAGAGAGAAGGUGUAAGAACUAAGAAGUAUAUCAGACAAGACAAUAGUGGGAUCAGUUAGAGAUUAGAGAGAGAUGGUAACUAACUUGGAUAAUAUACGGUCCAGCAAUUCACCUCCCUCGCACAACCUAAAAGUAAAGGCAAAGAGUCAAAUGUGAAAUGCCGCGGAGAGACAUGAUCAUGUAAAAGAGAGACUAGACUCACUCCAUGACAAUGUAGACGUAGUCAUCAUCAUCAAAGGCAUUGUAAAACUGGACAACGUUCUCGUGGCCAGAGAGAGCUUUAAGAAUCUGAACCUCUCGCUUCACGUCCUCCACCGCAACAGGAAGAACCAUCUGUCACCCAAAACACCCAAAGGCACAGUAACUAACUGUAGGAGGACUUGGGAUUUUUUUUUUUAAGAUUAUGAUAUUAGAAAGAUUACAGACGAUUCGAGAACCAACAAUACUGCAUGUCUUGACGAGUGCUUUUUAGAAAAUCAAAAUUAUAUUCCGAGGAUCGAAUCUAACCGUGAAUUGAGAUUGAAUAGUAGUAUAUAUAUAUGAUGAUGAUUGAUUUAUUUGAGAUAUUCACUAAUUCCAAAAAAAGGGAAUCCCAUUUUAAAAAAAAAACAAUACCUUGCUCUUAUCGAGCCUUUUAACGGCGACACGAUCGCCGUUAGAUUUGUGGAUGGCAACGUAAGUAUACCCGAAUUGACCAUGACCCAGCAACUUCCCUAUGCUAUACUGCUCGUGGAAGUCUUUGGCGUAUCCAAACUCGGUACGCUUCCCGCAAGGGACUGACCCGGUUCUCCGCUUGGUGGUGGUGGUAGAGGGCUUGUUGUUGUUGUUCUCCGGAGGAGGAGUCUUAUUAUUAGACUUAGGGUUCUUCUUGUUGUUGUUGUUGGUCUGACUACUACUUCUUCUGCUGCUGCUGCUGGUACCAGUGACUCUAAUGGCCGAGAAACACACACCCAUGAUGGUUAAGAAAGCGAUUCAAAGGGAGGAAGAAGGUCGAUGAAGGAUUUGGAAAUGGGGGUUGGGGAUAUUCAUUUUAAUAAACAAAAAUGAAAAAGAGAGGAAAGGAGGGAGGAGGAGAAAGAGAGCGUUGAGUUGGUCAAACACAGAGAGCGAGUAAGUGAAUCACCAAACGAAAUAUCCUCUCCACUUUCCCCUCUCUUUGCCUUUUUCUUCCCUUUUUCCUUUUUUUACUUUUUACUUUUUAUUCACACUAGUAUCUGGGCUUUGUUACAUUUCCACUGCCAUUUAUAUACAUGCUAUCAUCAUAUACAGUAAUAUUUUUUUUAAUUGAUAGUACUGAUUUGAUCCGCGUUUUGAAAGCGCGAGAUUUAUUUCUUUUAAAAAUUUUGGUCAAAUUUUGUUAAUUAUAAGAUUAUGUAUUUUUAUAUAAGAUAAUCAAAUUUGUUUACAAUUUUGUUGAUUUUUUAUGAAUUUAAAAUAUGUAUACUUCUAUGUUGGACAUGAUUUUAAAAUGUAUUUAUACUCAUGUAAAUUGUUUUAUGAGUUUAAAAAUUAGAUGGAGUGAAAUUUAUAGUUUUUUAUUGUUUAUAGUUAUUGAUCUAAUUAGUAGAUGUGAAUAUAGUAGGUUAAUUUUCUAUUUUUCGGCCGACAUUAAUUAUAGGUUGAUUUAUUUGUUUUUCUUUUCUAUAGUUUUAAAUGUUUUAAGAGGAUCCCAUAUGUUUUUUCAUUUUUUGUUUUCCUUGGCGUAGAAUUAUAAUUACAGUAUCAAACUAUAGGCAAAAAAAAAGAGAAAAAGACCAAAAUAGCACUAAAUCAAGUUUUUGUUCCCAAACUAGCACUCAAGGUCAAAAGUCACAAAAAUAGCAUUCAAGGAGUGGGGUUUAGGGUUUAGAAUUUAGGGUUUAGGGUUUAGAGUUUAGGUUUUAGGGUUUAGAGUUGAGAAGUGAGGUUUUGGGGAUAAGAUUUCAAAUUUUGAAAAAUAAAAAAAUAUAAAUUUUUCAAAAGAUAAAAGAGAAAAAGACCAGGAUAGCACCAAACCAAGUUUUUGUUCCCAAAGUAGCACUCAAGGCUCAAAGUCACAAAAAUAAGUUUCAUUAAAGAGGUAAAUAUACACUUAUACCCUUUGAGUUAAUUAAUCCAAACCUUAGGGUUUAGAGUUAAGGGGUGGGGUUUUGGAAUUAGGGUUUAAAAUUUUAUAAAAAGUAAAUACUAAAAUAAAAAAUAAAAAUUUUAGAAACAGUUUCAAAAAGUAUUUUUAAAUUAUAAAAAGAAAAUUUGAAAAAAAAAAUUUCAAAAAAAAAAUUAUAAAAAUUUCGAAUCUGAAAACAUAUAAUCUGAAACUAUAAAAAAAAAUAUUUUUUUCAUUUUUUUUAUUUUUAUUUUAUUUAUUUUUAUUUAUUUUUAUUUAUUUAUUUAAUUUUAAACCAAGGGUAUUAGAGAUAUUCAAUUGCAACUACCAGUGGAUGGCAUUAGAAUCAUCAACACAACAAAUUAAAGAAGCUAAUGUUGAACAUAUAAAUCACAUACCUGUGAAACCCAAGGACUGAACUGCUGGUGCACCUCAUCUACUAGAGGCCCUCUCACGAUCUGCAACUCUGGCUGCGGAAUACCAACAAUGCCAACGAAAAGCAUCGGUCAUGGCCCAACAAGUAUUUAUAUGGAUCAUAUAAUAAUUUUUAUCUGGUUUUACUUGUAUUCAAGAGUAAAACCAGAGUGUAAAAGAAACUCUUAUCCUACAUAUUAUCAGUGUGUACAAGUACAAAGAAAACCUAGAAUUUGUGAUAGAAACUUAGCAUCUCAAUGCUCUUGGAGUAUAGAGUCUACAUAUAUGUAUAGGAGUACUGAUUCAUAGACUCACUUUCGAAGAAACAGAAUAUGCCAAGGAAGCAUUAGGUCGGAAAAUAUAUGCACCGGAAACUUGGGAAUUUUUUGAGUCCCCCACAUUUGAAGCAUACCAGAGAUAGUUCUGGUCCACCAGUAUUUUAGCCUGAAACAUAUUUUUAUCAGAAACGAUUGUGUUUUGAAUCAUUUUUGUCACCAUAGUUCCAAGAUUUUUCAGUGUGCAAGAGAGUAAACGAGAAACAUUACUCCUGUUCUGGAGUUGUGCAUCUGUUUGAGAAGACCAGAGUCUGGAGAAAACACCAGCUUCAGAUUUCCUGGACCAAUUUCAGUUAUACCCUUCAUUGGACUAAACGUCCCUGGAGAGUGUUUGUUUUUGUCGCUUCCUAAAAGAGAAGUCAUGAGUUAAAAGCACAUCUUGUGUGUAACUUUCAAUAGAAUAUGUAAGGUUUACCUUCCCCGGUUGCUUUAGAUAUGAAGAAUGUGUUCCAACCAAGUGGCGGCACUGUUGCUUUAAACACAAGCCAAUACUUUGGAAUCUGUUGUGAAGAUACUCCCAAAUACGCUUUCGAAUAGUUACUUCUCAGGUUGCUCGUGACAUUAUCCAUGGGAAUGUACUGAGCAUCAAGGGUUUUUCCUGAUGAAUCUUCCACGUUUAAACCUGCAUCAUUGACCUAGUAAAACAGAGAAAUUGUAAGUGUCAUUAUUGACCUCAAAGAAGCAAGUAAUCUAGAUUUAAAAAAAAGAGCAUGAAAUCUAACCGGUAUCCUGAUGACUUCUGUACGAUUCCAUGCAAGGGAGUUAUAGGCCACCAGAAUCUGAAUUUAAGACACAAGCACUGAGUCAGUUGAAGAAGCCUAAGCUGAGACCUCAGAGUUAUAUAUAUCUUAAUAAUGACUAUGGAAUUACCAAGCUCUUCUGGCCUGAAAUGGUUUCUUCCGUCACUGGGCAAUAGCUCAUAUUCAUCGACGAGCACUGCUCAGAGGGUAAUAAAAACAACUCAUUAUUUAUCCUACAUUAUCAUGAAAUGGAUUUUUUUUAGAAAACCAAAAUGAGUUUGAAGGAUCUUUUUUAACCUGGGCUAAUGAUAUGUCAGGCUUUGUACGUGCCUUGUUCAUUAAGUGUGCCAGCGCAGAAUUCACAACUGCUUCUGCCUAGAUUCAUACGAUGAAAUCAGUUAACCUUAGCAAAGAGUUUUGAAUAGUAAGGUUUUGUUACCUCAGAAGCACCAUGUGCUAGUCUUUUGGCAUAAUCAUUUGUCACAUGCUGCUUGGCAGUUCCAGUGACACCAUCAUGGUGCUGCGCUAUUGCUAAAGAAUCCCCAAGUCUACAAGUGUUUGGACCUCCAGAUUUCUUUCCCACCAGAAACUCAAGUUGCCUUGCAGCCUGGUUUGGAGAAAGAAUAAAAAAAUAAAGCACAUUCUCUAUGUUGGUGUGUCUGAAUUUGACAAAGAAACCAUAGAGACUAUUUGGAUACCAAGUAGUAUCCGCUAAGAGAGCGAACAUAUCGUUUUAAAGCAGGGCGGCUGGUGAAGUAGCCAGUCCAGUAGGCGCUAUCCCGAUCUGCAUAUCUACAAUGAACACAUGGGUUUAGAAAGUGAAGCUCAACAAGGUUGACAGAGGAAUGUUGUGAAUUUUUAAACCACUCACGGGAAAAAGUCAUGUGUCUUGAGAGGCCAAGUGAUGUUCUUGGCAGCAUUCUUGGCAUCAACAUAAAGAGAUGGUGUGGAGUACACUGCGUUCACACGGCCAUCCUGUGAAAGUAAAGUUGAAUGUGAGGAAUGGGAGGGAGAGAAGAAGUGAGAUUGAGAAAAGGAAGAAACCUUGUUAACAUAAUGAAUCAAUCUGUCCAUCUGUCUGAACCAAGACUCGGCGAACUGGUACUGAAAAUCAUCACCCAUUGUCCACAUCACAUGGUUCCCUCGAGUCACAUUGGCCUGUCCAUAUAUAUAUAUAUAUAUAUAUAUAUAUAUAUAUUCCCAUCAAAUAGUCACAAUAUAUUUUUAUUUUUUUGAAUUAACAAACAGCGUGGUGGUCCGAACUGCGCAUUCACCAUAUUGAGGUUAUCCCUCAAGUGCCACUAGCCCGUGGCCCGUUGGUCGAAAAAUUCGUUAUUAGGGAUCAAAAUUAAACUUACAUAAAAGAGGGAAGCAUUGACGAAAUUAUCAACAGCAUCCUUGAUGUUGAAGGCAUCCAAAAGAGGGUCAUCCUGGAGAGGAGCGUAAUCAUCGGUGAUCUCAUAGUGAAACCCACUGGGUGGACUAUAGUGAACUGGAAAAGUAUUGGUGAAUAUCUGAGAAGACGAUGCGAAAGUUUCGGAUCCUCUCCAGACGAAUUCUAAGGAUUUCUCGUCCUUGCGCUUCUCCCUGUCCUGGUAAUCGAUUCUGGCGAAAUGAAGAGAAUCAAACCCUAGCUCUGCUCCCAUAAGGUAAGCUUGUACGGAGGAAUGACCGAAAGGAUCUAUUUGCCAAGCAGCACGAGGAAUGAUAUUGAAUGUCUGCAUUAUAAACCGAUGCCCUAACGUCAUCUGGUCUAUCAUGUCUAUGUAAUGGCACGUUGCUUCGUCGUUCAUACUCCAUCCUCCGUUUCUGCACCCCCACCCCACACAAUGAUCAUUCUGUGAAAUCAAAAUUGAUCAAUCGUAACAUUAACACUUACACAAACUCGAGUUGUCCGGAGUUCACAAGCUUCUUCACUUGUUCGUGUGUCUCGGGGUUUUGUUCUCCCCACCAACGCGUAAAGAAUGCCUUUUUCAUAUAUAUAACAUAUGGUUUAUGAAUUGUGAUCAAAAACAUUAAUUGGUGGUUAAUUAAUUUAAUUAAAAGCAGCAAUAAUGGCAUAUGUUUUCACCAUUUCCGCAAACACAAACUUUCGAUUAGGAUCGCGACGCAGCGAGUCCAUCACCGAGUCCAUCACGUUUCUCACGCAUGCUUUCUGAUGAAAAUUAAUAUCAAUAUUGAGUAUACAUAUAGACAGUCUCUAACUACGACUACGUGUGUGACAUAAGGUUCUUCUCUAUUAUCUACAUAUAUACCUGGAUACUGUUGUUUGAUCCGAUGAAGUACUGAUCAACGGUUUUCAACCACCCGACAUCGUCAUGAGAAUGCGGGACAAGAUGGACGUUGAGUUUGUCAGGUACGACUCUAGCAUCGGUGCCGUACUUAACGUAGACGCCAUUAACGCUCUCAAGAGAAAGACAGGUGGUAACAGAAACAAUAACAUAGAUCAACACAGACAAACCGGGUAUCACCAUCGACCUUCAGAUGUUUCCUUGUUUCUCUCUUUCUUACAGACUUGUGUUAUAUAUAAGAAAUGGAGAGAAAAAGGAGGGUCGUAAAGACCAAUUUCUAUCGUUGGUUUUGCUCAGAUCCAGACCACUCUCAUCACUAACUGUCUCUAUGAUAAUUUAAUUGUGACUAGAUUAUCAUUUCACCACAAAAAUACUGUAAUAUUCCUUAAUUAGCUUCUAUAAUAAGUUAAUAAUCCUACAUGAAACCUUUUUUAAUAAUUAUUUUACAUUAUCACACAAAAUAGACUUUUCACACCCUGAUUUGUAUAAAUAAAAUUGAUGUUUUUGUAGCUUACUAUUUAUUAAUAUUAAAAAAUUUAGAUGCAGAUUUUUAGAUAUAAAUCAAUUAUUUAUUGAUGUCUAAAUAUAUUAAUAUAAUGUAAACAUGUUAAAUGCAACCUAUACAUUUUAAGUAAAAAAUUCUUCUUAAAAUUAUAAUUUCCCUUUGUUAAUAUUUUCAAUGCUUUUGAAAUGUGUGUUGUGAAAUGUUUGUGAUAUUAAUUUCAAUCUUUUUAAAAUUGUUUUUAUGCAAAAUCUCUGAGCCUGAGCUUGUGAAAUGGAUCACAAGACUUAUGUAAUCCGCCCAUCUUCUUCUUUUCAACUGCUGCUGUGUUUCAAGGUUUAGAGCGAGGUAUUGAACAUGUAAACAUAUUCCAAACAUGAUAUGAAUAGAAAUUUAAAAGAGUAAUUUUGGUGGUAAUGAUGCUCUCUUUAGAUUGUUGAUGGAAAAUUCUCAAAUGCAGAAGAAAGAUGAAGAAUCGACAAUGGCAUCAGCUCCUUUAUCUACAUAAUAUUUAAUAAUAAUAAUAAACCCUCUCACAAUCUUGCUUAGUAGACUUCCACAUUCCACUGCUCACUCUUCUUCAACUGCUUCUUGUACUCGAACCAAUCGAUACCUGUUCAAAGCCCCCCAGUUAAUUAAUGACCAUUUGCAACAGAGAUUUGCAAAAAAUGAAAUGUGCCUUUACUUACCAUCUUUAGCAGCAAGUGAGACCAUGAUCUCAUCGAUGCCCUUCUCCAUACCCUUGAGACCACACAUGUAAACAAAGGUGUUGUCUUUCUUCAGCAACUCCCACAGCUCUUCUGCAUACUCAGCCAUUCUUGUCUGUAUGUACAUUUUCUCUCCCUUGUCGUUAGUCUGCUCCCUGCUCACCGCAAAGUCCAGCCUGAAGUUUUCAGGGUUCUUCUCCUUCAUCUUCUCAAACUCCUGUCAAUUAUUUAUCCACACAAAGUCAAACCAGCUCUUCCUACAAGACAAGGUUAAGUUUACUGAGACUAGGAUUUACCUCCUUGUAGAGCAGUGAGCUGCUUGUGGGUACACCCAAGAAGAGCCAUGCCAAACCGUUGAACUACAUAUAUAGAGCCAGACAAUGUCAAAUGGUGAGUGAGUUAGACUAUAAUUAGUGUGUCAAGAGAGAGUUUGAUGUUGGUUUUCACCUUGUAGUCCUCAUGCUCCUCAAAGAACAUUUUCCACAAAAAUGAUCUGAAUGGAGCUAUUCCAGUUCCUGUUCCAAGCUAAGCAAACCGAAAACAAACAAAUAAGUGUUGAUUAUAUUUACUUGAGGCCAUUUAUAUUAGUAUGACAUACCAUGAUGAUGGUGGCAUUAGGAUCUUUAGGCAUAAGCAUUUCUUUUCCAACUGGUCCAGUGAUCUUUGCCUCAUCACCAGGCUUCAAGUCACCUGUAAUAAUAAACACCACAAACAAACAGUAAGAAGAGUUUGAAACCGUAAUAAAAUUAAACCCAUUAAUUGUAAUUCUUGGUCUUACACAAGAAGUUGGAGCAGACUCCCUUAACAACCUCUCCGCUUUCGUUAGUGUAAACUAAUCUCUUGACACAGAGAGAAACCUGCAUAAGAAAGACCAUUGCAGAUCAUAAGAGAGAGAAGAUCAAGUCUUCAUUGUUUACUAGUCAGAGGAGGGGAAAGCUCUCACGGUUUUGGAGUCUCCAAAGUCACCAAUGGCACUGCUGGCGAUAGAGUAUAACCUCAGCUUGUGAGGCUUCCCGUUCUUGUCAAUUCCUUCUGGAAUUAUUCCUAUCGACUGCCCUUCUCUGUACGGAACCUCACCUAUUCCAUUCAUAUAUUUAAUCCAAUAUCCUUACGUUAACCUCGUAACAUGCCAUGCAAUGCACUUGAGAAAAAUAAAAUAAAAACUUCCCCACAAACAAUCAAUAAUUUGGAUUUUGUGGUGGUGGUACCUUCGGUGGUGAAGACGAUGUGCCAGGUCUCACCGGGAGCGUCAUCGCCGGUGAUCCUGGUGUUCAAGAGGCAUCGACCAGUGUAAGGUUCCUUUGGUUUGAAUUUGUUGACAACUAUUCCUUCUUCUUGUUUCUUUG